AGUUUGAUCAUGGCUCAGGAUGAACGCUAGCGGCAGGCUUAAUACAUGCAAGACGAACGGUAAGAUUUGUAGCAAUACGAAUCCUAGAGUGUCGUAAGGGUGCGUAACACGUAUGCAACCUGCCCUGUACAGGAGUAUAGCUCCCCGAAAGGGGAAUUAACCCUCCAUAACAUCAUGAGACGGCAUCGUUUUAUGAUUAAAACUGAGGUGGUACAGGAUGGGCAUGCGACUGAUUAGUUAGUUGGUGAGGUAACGGCUCACCAAGACGAUGAUCAGUAGGGGACCUGAGAGGGUGAUCCCCCACACUGGCACUGAGAUACGGGCCAGACUCCUACGGGAGGCAGCAGUAGGGAAUAUUGGACAAUGGGUGAGAGCCUGAUCCAGCCAUGCCGCGUGCAGGAAGACGGCCUUCUGGGUUGUAAACUGCUUUUAUUUGGGGAUAAAAAGGUCUUGCGAGACCAACUGAAGGUACCAGAUGAAUAAGCCACGGCUAACUACGUGCCAGCAGCCGCGGUAAUACGUAGGUGGCAAGCGUUGUCCGGAUUUAUUGGGUUU
rnacentral:rRNA from 1 species